UACGGAGGAUCCAAGCGUUAUCCGGAUUCAUUGGGUUUAAAGGGUGCGUAGGUGGAAUGGUAAGUCAGUGGUGAAAUCUCCAAGCUUAACUUGGAACUGCCGUUGAUACUAUCAUUCUUGAAUAUCGUGGAGGUGAGCGGAAUAUGUCAUGUAGCGGUGAAAUGACUUAGAUAUGACAUAGAACACCGAUUGCGAAGGCAGCUCACUACACGAUCAUUGACACUGAGGCACGAAAGCGUGGGGAGCAAACAGG
rnacentral:rRNA from 1 species